ACAUAUCAACGUAACUUAUAUUCAUACAGAAAUGAAGACUUGCUAAAGCAACAUUCUUGAAAAGAUGUCUGGGGAUGUUGCACUGCUAAACCUACCUGUCCCUGAGUAACUAUAUUGUGUCCCAGAGUUCCCUCUGAUUGAAUUCCACUGACUCAGAGUGGCAAUUGUUUUGAUAACAUACCCUUGAUCGGCUUCCUUCCUUUUCUCACUUUCCUUUUGCACUGGUGUCUCCUGUGAUCACUUCCAAAAUAAACUACUUACACUCAAUUCUUGUCCUCAGGUCUGCUGCUGGGGAAACCAAACCACAGUAACUUCAGAAAUAUAUACUUGGAAUAUGUCAUGUAUUAAUGGGUAAAGACACCGUGGAUAUGAAGGAAAUCACCUAUGGGAGAAUAUUAAGAAGAGAAGAAGGUUAGUUCCAUGACUUGACUAAAUGGGGGCUUGGCUAUCUUGACAGAGUCUCAUUCCAGCCCUGUUCACAUGCUCGGUGGUUGUGGAAAUACAGACUCCAAGUCAUUCAACACUUUUAGCACCUUCCUGAGACCAUUUACUCUCUAAAAUGGAGUCUACCUGCUUCCACCUGAGAGCUAAAGAACCUUCUCUUUGAUCAAGCUGAGUUCCAGAGUUCCAAGUUUCCCAGGAUUCAGAGAUCCCUGGCCCAGCUGUGAUAUGCAGUCUCAAAACACAAAACAUCUGGAGAGAUGAUAUGAACAGUUCAUCUUUCCCUAUUUAUAUUUGAAGGCUAAGGCAAUGUUUAUGGAAUAAAGAAUUUGUUUAAAUGAAUGUCUGAACAUUAUGAAUUCCUUGUUAUACUUUAUCUGGCUUCACAAUUGAUGUAGUGAACCAAGAUCUCUCUAUACAUAUACUCACAUGCAUACACAUACACAUAGGCUUAUAGUCAUAAAGCUAUAUAGUCAUAUAUACAUGUAUCUAUAUAUCAAAAAAGAGAUUGUUAUUUUUCUUUAUGUACCUAGGGAAAUCCCUGAACCUAUUAAGGCCACUAUAUUCAUUUCUCUAAAGUCUAAAAGCAGACUGGAAGGAUGGAAUAUGAGUAUAACACGAAAGUAAUAUUUUUCACAAAGUCAUGGCUAUUAAGAACCUUAUAGUCUUUGAGUGGAGUGUAUAAUUUGAAAUUAAAGUUUCAUAACUGAGUAUCCUUCUUUUUAGAAGAAAAAUGUUCUCAUAAAUCUGUUACCCAAAAUGCUUUUGAAAGAAAAUUUACCAUUUUCUUCAACUUUAAAAUCAUACUUGCAAGGGAAGCUCUGUGCAGAGAUGUUUGGCAUAAAUAUGAAUGACAAUAUAUAAAAACUAUUACCACACUACUAAAAAAUGUUGGGCAGCUUUGACCUGGUUAUUUGAUUGAACUUUCUGAAUCUGAUUUGUCAACUGAAGACAAGUAAAAGUUUUUUUACAAAUUCUAUCCUUAGCCUCUCAAUUAAUCUCAAAUAUUUGUUCAGAGAAAUAAUUGAAAAUUCUGACUGUAUCCUGACUGAAAUGUGGAUCACUGGGGGCCUCAAAGCUUCAGUGUGUUUAGUUCCCUAUGGUUUUGAGGCACAUGCCCUAUGUGAACCUUUUGAAGGACAGAAAAAUUCAUAACUGACUAGCAAUUGGUUAACUUUAGUUAAAAAGUGAAACACCUACUCUAGUGGUGCAAAAGAUGUCUGCAAAGGGCAAAAUCUUCAGCUUUGAAAGGCAUUCAGCAAUGUCAAUAGACUAGCACUUGAGAGUCACCUAAAAUUUAUUUGUAUUACUUUUCACCCAAUUUUAAAGAAGAAUAUUUCUAAGAUAAAAGCUUAAAACUUUUUAAUUAAAAAAAAAAAACUAAACUCAGUACUCCUAAGCCUUCAUAGAUAUAUACUUCAGUAUCUUGCAUGACAUUGAAAGCUCUAAUAACCAAAUUCUUUCCUGACUCCUAAUUAUGUGUCCUUGUUCUUCUGUUUAAAGUAACAUUUUGUGUCUAUUUGUGUAUAUGCAUGUGUACACAUUUGUGUGAGUUCACAAAUGAUUACUCUGAUGAAUGUUAAUUUAUAUCAAUCUAACCAAAAUAAAAUUAGAGAAAUCUU
rnacentral:lncRNA from 1 species